rnacentral:rRNA from 1 species
GAUGAACGCUGGCGGCGUGCCUAAUACAUGCAAGUCGAGCGAACGGAUGAGAAGCUUGCUUCUCUGAUGUUAGCGGCGGACGGGUGAGUAACACGUGGAUAACCUACCUAUAAGACUGGGAUAACUUCGCGAAACCGGAGCUAAUACCGGAUAAUAUUUUGAACCGCAUGGUUCAAAAGUGAAAGACGGUCUUGCUGUCACUUAUAGAUGGAUCCGCGCUGCAUUAGCUAGUUGGUAAGGUAACGGCUUACCAAGGCAACGAUGCAUAGCCGACCUGAGAGGGUGAUCGGCCACACUGGAACUGAGACACGGUCCAGACUCCUACGGGAGGCAGCAGUAGGGAAUCUUCCGCAAUGGGCGAAAGCCUGACGGAGCAACGCCGCGUGAGUGAUGAAGGUCUUCGGAUCGUAAAACUCUGUUAUUAGGGAAGAACAUAUGUGUAAGUAACUGUGCACAUCUUGACGGUACCUAAUCAGAAAGCCACGGCUAACUACGUG